rnacentral:lncRNA from 1 species
CCACCACCACCAAACCGUUACUCCAACGCCCCACCACCAAGCCAUUACCACAAUACACCACCCUCACCACCAAUGGAGCAACCACCUCGAACUCCAUCAGGCCAUUACUAUAAUAAUCCACCACCACCACCACAAUCACCAAACCAUUACUACAACAUACCUUCGCCACCACCACCAACAAAGAAUAUAUCACCAAGUACCCAUUAUGCACCACCUCCUCCCCCAUCUGUUCAUUAUGUUCCCACGCCUAGUCAUUCAUCUCCUCCACCGCCGCCACCUCAAGUUCAGUAUUUUCCACCUCCUUAUCCGUCAAGAGGGCAGCAAGCAAGUCCACCUCCACCACCAUCUCAUGAGCAUACGGGGACUCAAUCUCCACCUCCACCAGCAGAGUAUCAUCCACCUCCCAAGGAGUCAUGUCAUCCUAUCCCUCCUCCACCCCCACCAGAAUGCACAACUCCCGUAUCAGCACCACCACCGCCAAGCCAACAUUCAACCCCAUCACCAUAUGCACCAGCACCUGGUCAUCACUAUUCAAAACCAUCCCCACCUCCUAAACAACAAUGGCAUUAUCCACCAUCCCCACAACAUCAAAACCCUUCUCCCCCACCCCCACCCCCGCCAACCCACUAUGCGUAUACAUUCCCACCGCCACCACCAUCUCCUUCUCCACCGCCACCCUCAUUUGAAAAUACGCCACUCCCACCAAUUAGAGGAGUAUCAUACGCAUCUCCUCCUCCGCCAGUUAUUCCCUACUACUAAAGAACUGCUUUUGCACGACAUUGAGUUGUAGUUCAAAAUCUUCAGGUGCAACCAUGAUGGCAUGUUAACCUGCGUGUUGUUUCUUCAGCUUUUUUGAGAACUAUUUUUUCCCCUAAAUAUAUAAUAACUUAAUAUUUUAUUUGUAUUGUCUUUUUUAUUUCCUUUGUAUUGUUCUGCUAAUAUAUGUGGUAAUGUAUACAGGUAAUGAUUUGAAUAAUUUGUAGACACAACAUUACAUUUUUCUUCGC